rnacentral:lncRNA from 1 species
GUAAAUUUUUAUUGCAAGGGCACGUUGAACGUAAAAGGGAGUUUUCUCCCCUCUUGUAUUUAAAAAUACGUGUUUGGUGAUAUAAGUCAUUAACCAAAUAUAAUUAAGACCUAUGGUCUUUUGAUUUGAGGUCCUUAGUUCAUGACCUUGAAAUUGAUCUCAAGGUCAUAGCUUAAUUUGACGUUCUAGAUUUUGACCUUUG